rnacentral:rRNA from 1 species
AGUGAACGCUGGCGGUAGGCCUAACACAUGCAAGUCGAACGGCAGCACAGUAAGAGCUUGCUCUUACGGGUGGCGAGUGGCGGACGGGUGAGGAAUACAUCGGAAUCUACUUUUUCGUGGGGGAUAACGUAGGGAAACUUACGCUAAUACCGCAUACGACCUACGGGUGAAAGCAGGGGAUCUUCGGACCUUGCGCGAUUGAAUGAGCCGAUGUCGGAUUAGCUAGUUGGCGGGGUAAAGGCCCACCAAGGCGACGAUCCGUAGCUGGUCUGAGAGGAUGAUCAGCCACACUGGAACUGAGACACGGUCCAGACUCCUACGGGAGGCAGCAGUGGGGAAUAUUGGACAAUGGGCGCAAGCCUGAUCCAGCUAUACCGCGUCGGUGAAGAAGGCCUUCGGGUUGUAAAGCCCUUUUGUUGGGAAAGAAAAGCAGCAGGUUAAUACCCCGCUGUUCUGACGGUACCCAAAGAAUAAGCACCGGCUAACUUCGU